rfam:Lupinus angustifolius cultivar Tanjil contig_44519, whole genome shotgun sequence.
UUAUUUGUUUAUAUGAUUUUAAUGCACCGAAACCCAUCAGAACUUGUUAAGCGUGUUUGGGCGAGAGUGGUAGUACGAUGGUGACCUCAUGGGAAUACCUCGUGUUGCACCCU